CUUGCGGGACGACCCACAAGCGCCAUGUUUCACCGGGGACGGCCCCA
rnacentral:ncRNA from 1 species